UACUAGCGGUCCAAGUCGCAGCCAUUUUUAUUGGGUCUAAAACAUCCGUAGCUUGCUUAAUAAGUUUCCUGUGAAAUCUUAUCUCUUAAAGAUAGGGCGUGCGGGAAAUACUGUUAGGCUAGAGACUGGAAGACGUAGGAAGUAUGAUCAAAGUAGCGGUAAAAUGCUUUAAUCUUGAUUAGACUAACAAUAGCGAAGGCAUCCUACGAGGACAGUUCUGACAGUAAAGGAUGAAGGCUAGGGGCGCAAAACGGAUUAGAUACCCUUGUA
rnacentral:rRNA from 1 species